GAGCUAAGCUGCUGUACUAUCGAUAUAUAGCAUGAAGGUCUCUGUGCUAUGUACCAAAUUAUUUUCAGUCAUGUGGCUUCAAAAUUAAUGAUCGAUUCCAUUAGAUUUGAUCUACAUUAUUGAAAGUAUUUUAAAAUUAAAUUUCAUAAUGUUUCAAUAUUAUUUGACUACUGAUCAAAAGGUCUCAAAAUUUAAAAUUUUAAUGGUCAAUGUGAUGUGUUUGUAAAUUUAACUGCUUAAAAAAUUCAAAUCUGAUGAAAUUUUUAUAAUUUUUUUUCACUAUUUAAAAUAAGAUCAGAAACUCUAAUCUUAAAUUUAAAUAUUUUAUCAUCAUUUUUUAUGAUAUUUUUUAUUUUCAGCCAUUCAUUUUAAGACUACUUGUUGAUAGGUGAAUUAAUGAUGUCGAAAAAUUAUGAAAUUUAGUUUUCAAAUAAUUUUAAUAGUGUAAAUUAAGUCUAACAGAACCGAUCGAUCGUCAAUUUGGAAGCCGCAUUAUUGAAAUCAACUUAAUAGCAUCGAGGUUUCUGUACUACCGCAUAGAUUAAGUCUAACUUUUUGACCCUUAAAUCAAUCUCUUUGAUUAUUUUUUAUCUUUAGACUAAUAUUAUUAUUCUAAAGGGACUAUUCAAUUCUAAGAAGGACUAUUAUCAUUCUAACUUUAUAAUUUUUAAUUCAAAAAUCAAAAAAUCAAAAGUACUAACUCCCUUAUGUUUUCGAUAGUAUGGUAACACUAUUAAC
rnacentral:lncRNA from 1 species